CGUGGAUAACCUGCCUCGAAGUGGGGGAUAACACCGGGAAACCGGUGCUAAUACCGCAUACCCUGAUGAGAUCUGCGGAUUUUGUCAGUAAAGGAGCAAUUCGCUUUGAGAGGGGUCCGCGGCUGAUUAGCUAGUUGGUGAGGUAAUGGCUCACCAAGGCAUCGAUCAGUAGCCGGUCUGAGAGGACGGUCGGCCACACUGGAACUGAGACACGGUCCAG
rnacentral:rRNA from 1 species